rnacentral:rRNA from 1 species
UCGUCACGGGCUCUAAACUCACAAGGAAAUUGUACGCGGGAGCCCGCACAAGACGCUGGUAGCAUAUGGUUUUAUAUAUUGAAGAGACGCGAAGAAGCACUCUUUCCACCUGCUUGACAUCCUCCCUUUGACCAGUACCAGAGGAUGUAGCGUUCCCCUUCGGGGGCAAGGAGUGACAGGUGGUGCAUGGUUGUCGUCAGCUCGUGUCGUGAGAUGUUGGGUUAAGUCCCGCAACGAGCGCAACCCUUGUCCUUAGUUGCCACCAUUCAGUUGGGCACUCUAAGGAGACUGCCGGUGACAAACCGGAGGAAGGUGGGGAUGACGUCAAAUCAUCAUGCCCCUUAUGAGUUGGGCUACACACGUGCUACAAUGGACGGUACAAAGGGCAGCGAAGCCGCGAGGUGGAGCCAAUCCCAGAAAUCCGUUCUCAGUUCGGAUUGCAGUCUGCAACUCGCCUGCAUGAAGUCGGAAUCGCUAGUAAUCGCAGGUCAGCAUACUGCGGUGAAUACGUUCCCGGGUCCUUGUACACACCGCCCGUCACACCACGAGAGUUUGUAACACCCGAAGUCGUUGAGGUAACCUUAGGGAGCCAGCCGCCGA